GGGGGCGACUUGGCUUCGACGUGGAUCACAAAGUCUGGGGAGCAUGCAGUGGGUGUGGUGACCACUUAAACACUAGUCACAAACAAUAGUCGCAAACGACGACUCUUACGCUCUCGCCGCUUAAUAACCGGUUGAAAGCUGUCUGAUCGGUUCUGUGCUUAUGCAGGCCGAAUAUUCAGGCAUCAUCCAAUCAUAAGAUCGUGAGGGAGGCUCGCCCAAGGCCAAACCACUAAAACAGUAUUGGGACAGCCCGUGAGCAGCCUGUCAGUUGGCGGCAAUCGGGUUAAACAAACGACUGACUAAGCAUGUAGCUGGCCUUCAGAUGGAGGGUUUGCGGACGCGGGUUCAAUUCCCGCCGCCUCCACCA
rnacentral:tmRNA from 1 species